rnacentral:lncRNA from 1 species
UUGCACAGGGUGUGGGACCGCAGGGUCGAGCUCCUGAUCGAUCGCUACCGGAUACCUGUCCCAUUCAAGCACAAUUAGAAAUGCAGCAUGUCCCUGCAGAGCCGUGGCAGGCCCAGCCUGUGUAAGGACGUACCAAGCUUUGUACCAAUCAAAAUUUGCACCGUCGAUCCCGCCGUCCAAUGAGACGUAAUCCGUUUUCUCCUCCCAUCCAUCGACCUUUCUGCCGCUAUCAUCAGAAUUAGGAGCAGCGAUCUGUUGGCGGGGAACCGUCGCGUUUUUCGAAGCACAUUGGUAGACACUCCUUUUCUGGUUUAUUGAUCUGUGAAUGUCUCGUACAAAAAAGCCCUUUGUAACGUCCUGAUCUUGCCGACAAACACUGACAAGGCUCCUGAUCGUCCUGAUCGGCAUCAAGAUUCUUACAGCGUUUGUGAACCUGUCAGUAGUUUAGGCAACUGUCAGGAGAUGCAUGCAGUGCUUGUCUUCACUUCAACAGGUU